GAUUUAGCUUGCGUAGUGACCUGCGGAGGUCAUUA
rnacentral:rRNA from 1 species